rnacentral:rRNA from 1 species
UACGUAGGGUGCGAGCGUUAAUCGGAAUUACUGGGCGUAAAGCGUGCGCAGGCGGUUCGUUAAGUCAGAUAUGAAAGCCCCGGGCUCAACCUGGGAACUGCAUUUGAAACUGGCGGGCUUGAGUAUGGCAGAGGGGGGUGGAAUUCCGCGUGUAGCAGUGAAAUGCGUAGAGAUGCGGAGGAACACCGAUGGCGAAGGCAGCCCCCUGGGCCAAUACUGACGCUCAGGCACGAAAGCGUGGGGAGCAAACAGG